rnacentral:rRNA from 1 species
CAAUAGCGUAUAUUAAAGUUGUUGCGGUAAAAAAGCUCGUAGUUGGAUUUCUACCGAAGAUAGCCGGUCGGGUCUUCGACCUUGUAUCUGGUUUUGUCUUUGGUAUCCUCAUAGGGAACGUUUCUGCGCUUUAUUGCGUGGUGCGGUAUCUAUGACUUUUACUUUGAGGAAAUUAGAGUGUUCACGGCAGGCAAACGCCUUGAAUAUAUUAGCAUGGAAUAAUAACAUAGGAUCUUCGUCCUAUUUUGUUGGUUUCUAGGGCUAAGAUAAUGAUUAAUAGGGAUAAUUGGGGGCAUCUGUAUCAACGCGUCAGAGGUGGAAUUCUUGGAUUGCGUCGCGACAAACUACUGCGAAAGCAUUUGCCAAGGAUGUUUUCAUUGA